CCGUAUGCAGGGGGACAACAGUCAGAAAUGACUGCUAAUACCGCAUAAGCACACAAUGCUGCAUGGCAUGGUGUGAAAAGAUUUAUCGGCAUACGAUGGCCCCGCGUCUGAUUAGCCAGUUGGCAGGGUAACGGCCUACCAAAGCAACGAUCUGUAGCCGGCUUGAGAGAGUGACCGGCCACAUUGGGACUGAGACACGGCCCAGACUCCUACGGAAGGCAGCAG
rnacentral:rRNA from 1 species